UACAGAGGUCUCAAGCGUUGUUCGGAUUCAUUGGGCGUAAAGGGUGCGUAGGUGGCGGGGUAAGUCAGGUGUGAAAUUUCGGAGCUUAACUCCGAAACUGCAUUUGAUACUGCCUUGCUUGAGGACUGGAGAGGAGACUGGAAUUUACGGUGUAGCGGUGAAAUGCGUAGAUAUCGUAAGGAAGACCAGUGGCGAAGGCGGGUCUCGUGGACAGUUCCUGACGCUGAGGCACGAAGGCCAGGGGGAGCAAACGGG
rnacentral:rRNA from 1 species